AGAUGUCUCACUCAGGAAAGACAAGGUAUGCGCACUCUCGUUAUGUGUCACCUUCACCUCUAUCUUCACCUUAUCCGCACGGUAGAUCUGUCUCGAGGUCUUUAUCGAGGUCAAGGAGUCGAUCAAGAAGCAGAGAUUCGAUUGAUGCUGAAAACCCUGGGAACAAUCUGUACGUUACUGGUUUAUCUUCAAGAAUUACAGAGCGGGAACUUGAGAAGCAUUUUGAGACUGAAGGGAAGGUUGUUGAUGCUCAUCUAGUGGUUGAUCGUUGGACAAAGGAAUCUCGGGGGUUUGGGUUUGUAACAAUGUCCACCAUCAAGGAAGCAGAUCGUUGCAUUAAGUACCUUGAUCGGUCAGUUCUGGAGGGCCGUGUUAUUACUGUUGAAAAGGUAAAGAUUGCUUUUGCCUUCUUUUUUUUUUUUCUUUUCUGCACGAUGGGCUAUCUGAGAUAGUUGAGCAGUUUUGUGUCCAUCUUUUGAAUUCAUGUCUAUAUAUUGCCUAUCACCUUUUAAGCAUUUGGGAGAUGUUUCGCUUCAAUGUUUUUGGUUAGCAGGUUAGCUGUGUAUAGCAGCUCUUCAGCAAGCUUCAAGCAACUGCUUUGCAAAAAGACGCCGAGGAAGGACUCCGACUCCUGGCAGAUAUCUGGGCUUGCACACCAGGGGACGCCAUCAUUCUGCAAGUUAUUCCGAUCGGUCUUGCUCGCCUUACUACAGGCGGCAGGCUUAUUCUCCUUACUACCGGAGGUAUAGAUCAAGGUCAAGGUCUCCCUAUGAUCCAUCAAGGAGAAGACGAUCAUACUCUAGAGACUUCAGUGACUACUCUCCAGAGAGAUCUGUUUCGCCUAACUAUAGUAGGCGUUAUGGCAGGAGAUAUGCCUCACGGAGCGUUUCUCCUAGGAGAUACCGGAGAGGCUAUUCCAGAAGCUACUCACCAAGGUCCCAAGGAGAUCGAAGAAACUACUCUCGUAGCUACUCGCCAAGGGAUCGAAGAUCUCGGAGGAGCUAUUCACGUAGCUACUCACCGAGUGUACGAAGAUAUCGGAGUAGGAGUUCAUCUUAUAGUAGGUCGCCAAGGCCGAUCAAGCUACGCUCUCGAGAAAGCUACGCUCACAGCCGUAGCAACAGUUGUAGCAUCAACUCACGCUGAGAACUUAGUCAUUGGAAAUUGCUUUAUGGAACUCUUUAACUUUGUGUGAUGAACUCUGCAUAUCCAAAACAAUUAAUAUAGUGUAGGCAGUUUUCUGGGUUUUUGUGGCAUCCUAUUGUACAUGUGUUUUUUUUAAGUUUUUAUAAACUAGAAAUUGUGUUUUUUUUC